rnacentral:lncRNA from 1 species
GCUUGGAUUUAAUUGGAGAACAAGUCAGCUAACAAAAGCAAAGAGUUUAAUACUACUUUAUUUGGCACAUCAUCUGUUUAGAGAACCACAAUUUCCAGUUGAAUAGCAACCAACACUUGGCUACAAACUGGAUUUUCACCUUAAGAAUAGUUUACAGGUGAAAUUUCCAGUUGAGUAGCAACCAACACUUGGCUACAAACUGGAUUUUCACCUUAAGAAUAGUUUACAGGUGAAUUUUAAACAAGUAGCAUACUCAGAUUCAUUCAUAUAUACUUUGUUUUUAUUUCUUUUGAUAUGUGAAAUUUGUAAUUGCUCUUACUGUUUCAAGCAUAAUAAUACAUUGGAAAUAUUUGUUGACUUGCUCUGUCUGCAGCAGGGUUUAGACUUCUAAGUUCACAUAAUGGCCUUUCUUCUUUCGGUCAAGAUUAUAUGGUUUUUGAAUGCA